UGGGGAAUAUUGCACAAUGGGGGAAACCCUGAUGCAGCGACGCCGCGUGAACGAAGAAGGUAUUCGUAUCGUAAAGUUCUGUCCUAUGGGAAGAUAAUGACAGUACCAUAGAAGAAAGCUCCGGCUAAAUACGUGCCAGCAGCCGCGGUAAUACGUAUGGAGCGAGCGUUGGCCGGAAUUAUUGGGCGUAAAGGGUACGCAGGCGGUUUAAUAAGUCGAAUGUUAAAGAUCGGGGCUCAACCCCGUAAAGCAUUGGAAACUGAUAAACUUGAGUAGUGGAGAGGAAAGUGGAAUUCCUAGUGUAGUGGUGAAAUACGUAGAUAUUAGGAGGAAUACCAGUAGCGAAGGCGACUUUCUGGACGCAAACUGCCGCUGAGGUACGAAAGCGUGGGGAGCAAACAGG
rnacentral:rRNA from 1 species